rnacentral:rRNA from 1 species
UACGUAGGGUGCAAGCGUUAAUCGGAAUUACUGGGCGUAAAGCGCACGUAGGCGGCUUUGUAAGUUAGAGGUGAAAGCCCGGAGCUCAACUCCGGAACUGCCUUUAAGACUGCAUCGCUUGAAUCCAGGAGAGGUGAGUGGAAUUCCGAGUGUAGAGGUGAAAUUCGUAGAUAUUCGGAAGAACACCAGUGGCGAAGGCGGCUCGCUGGGCAGUGGCUGACGCUGAGGCGCGACAGCGUGGGGAGCAAACAGG